rnacentral:tRNA from 1 species
UCCCCCGUGGUGUAAUCGGCAACACAACCGACUUUGACUCGGUUAUUUCUGGUUCGAGUCCAGACGGGGGAGC